rnacentral:tRNA from 2 species
GCCGUGGUGGUGAAAUUGGUAGACACGCCAGCUUGAGGGGCUGGUGUCCGAAAGGACGUGCGGGUUCAAGUCCCGCCCACGGCA